AUUGAACGCUGGCGGCAGGCUUAACACAAGCAAGUCGAGCGAGCGGCGGACGGGUGAGUAAGGUCUGGGAAACGGCCAGAUGGAGGGGGAUAACUAAUGGAAACGGUAGCUAAUACAGCAUACCACAAGAGGGGCCCAGAUGGGAUUAGCUAGUAGGUGGGGUAAUGGCUCACCUAGGCGAAGAUCCCCAGCUGGUCUGCGAGGAUGACCAGCCACACUGGCACUUAGACACGGUCCAGACUCCUACGAGAGGCAGCAGUGGUGAAUAUUGCACAAUGGGCGCAAGCCUGAUGCAGCCAUGCCGCGUGUGUGAAGAAGUCCUUCGGGUUGUAAAGCCCUUUCAGCGAGGAGGCGUUACUCGCAGAAGAAGCACCGGCUAACUCCGUGCCAGCAGCCGCGGUAAUAC
rnacentral:rRNA from 1 species